UACAGAGGUGCCAAGCGUUAGGCGGAAUUACUGGGCGUAAAGCGUGCGUAGGUGGUUUGUUAAGUCCGUUGUGAAAGCCCCGAGCUCAACUUGGGAAUUGCAGUGGAUACUGGCGAGCUAGAGUGCGGUAGAGGAAGGUGGAAUUCCCGGUGUAGCGGUGAAAUGCGUAGAGAUCGGGAGGAACACCAGUGGCGAAGGCGGCCUUCUGGACCAGCACUGACACUCAAGCACGAAAGCGUGGGGAGCAAACAGG
rnacentral:rRNA from 1 species